UCAUCAUCAGCUAUGAAGUCUAUGAAUCCU
rnacentral:piRNA from 1 species